rnacentral:rRNA from 1 species
UACGAAGGGGGCUAGCGUUGUUCGGAUUUACUGGGCGUAAAGCGCACGUAGGCGGAUCGUUAAGUCGGGGGUGAAAUCCCUCAGCUUAACUGGGGAACUGCGUCUGAUACUGGAUGGCUUGAGUUUGGGAGAGGGAUGCGGAAUUCCAGGUGUAGCGGUGAAAUGCGUAGAGAUGCGGAGGAACACCAGUGGCGAAAGCGACUUUCUGGUCCUUAACUGACGCUGAGGCGCGAAAGCAUGGGGAGCGAACGGG